UAACGAACAACUUUGCUUUUGAGAUGUUCCGGAAUCCUGUUUCCCAUGCUGUUAAAUGAAGAAACUGAAGAUCUGAAUGAUAAACCAUCCUGAAUGAUAAACCAUGCAACAAGAAGUCUGGUACCAGUGGCAGAGGCUUCAUUAAUUCUCUUGACAAGUGAAUUAAGUCUGGAUAGCAUUGUUCUCUGGGCCAUACUGGCACUAUUAAAAUUACCCUGGCCUUGUCCUGUCUUACCUUGUUGAUCACUCUCUGAAUGAGGGGAAAUGGGGGAAAUGCUUUAAGCCCUGACUCCAGAAUAUUAGAAAGGUAUCUGAUACUGAGUCCCUGCUUCUGCCUGCUCUCAAGCAAAAUUUGUGACACUUCCUGUUGCUGAUGGAUGCAAAAAGAUCUAUUAUUGGAUUCCCCCAUAAACUGAAGAGGUGUAUUACUACUUUGUCCUUCGAAAUCUACUCAUGCAUCUGAUAUUUUGAUUUUUUUCAGAUGAUCUGCAAGGGAGUUUUAUUCCUUGGCUACAUAGAUUACUACUGGGUGAAUAUUGUAUCUGUACACUGGUUCAAAAGGCUCUUUGUCUCCAUGCAUAAUUUCAGGGAAUCAGCCCCUCUUGCUUGUUCUGAUAAUAUAAUGCUGUCAUAUUGUCUGUUACCAUGUGAACUGCUCUGUGUUUGACCUUUAGAGCCAGUCUGAUUGCUCUUGGCUCUAAUGUAUUGAUAUGUAGGUUCUUUUCUUUUGGUGACCAAUGAGUUGUGACGAACAAAUUGUUGUUCAAUGUAGAUGCAGAGGAGGAAAGUAUUACUGAUGGCAGAGGGGAAUUGAAAAGUGUACCCCUCAUUACACUGAGUGUUUGUUCACCUUGUUAGUGAUGUUAACACUUGCUGUGGGAUUACUGUUUUGCAAUGCAUGGUGACUAAACCUGAUUUGUAAUGUAUUGUUAACCAGUGUUGAAGAUCUCUCAUCUGAAGACAAGCAUGUGGUGUCACUGAUGUGGUUGAUGCCAAAAGACCCAGCAGGAGGAGAAAAAGAUCAAAGGAAUGGAAGAGAAAUUCAGGAAGGAGGAGGGAUGUGGUCAUGACUCUAACACUGACUUCAAGUGGUUUAGUUCUCCCCAUGCUCAGGCAAAGGACUUCCUGAGCCCCAUUCUGAUCUCGGUGACACUGUAUUUACAUCACGGCACCUUCAUUGAUUUCAGUGGAGUUACUCCUGACUUAAACCAGUAACCCUCCUCCUUGGCAAUGAGAUGGUUGUGCUUCAACGUGUCUUCCCUGUACUAAACCAGGAUGAAUUUCAAAUGUAGUGAAGAGGACCAAAGCAAACCUCAUCACUCCACUUUGGACCUACAUAAGCCUGAGUUCAAUCAAGCACAUAACCAUGUACUUUACUUUCAGCAUAGGAGUAGCUCCAUUGACUUCAGGACAAGUUCAGGUACACCAUCUGGUAUGGGUGAUAAUCAGUACAUGAGGUGACAAAAGCAUGAACAAGUAAAGUCAGCAGGAGAAGGCAAGGAUUCCAGUCAGAGGGACUAUUGUAAUCUCACUGGAGAAAUCUUUGGGGAUGGAAGAAAACAGCUGGAGGGUUUGGACAUUUGGAAGAGCUGCACAAUGCAGUGUUGUGCCCUGAUGUCAUAGAGCCGUUCGUGAGAGAGCAGAGCAGAGCGGAGCCGUUUGUGAGACAGCGGAGCGGAGCCCUGUGGGGCAGUCAGCUUCAGGUUGCGUAAGGUGCCCCUUACUUCUUUCCCCCCACACAGGAACAUUUUUAGCCAGACUGGGGAGUAACACUCUACAGAUGAACUUUUGAACUCUGGGGCUGGACUUUUUGGAGUUUGGGUGAUUUGUGGAUUGCUGGACUCAAGAGACGUUUGGGUUCUGGGACUCAAGAACCCGAGGGAAAGGAUGUGGCCCAAUUUGCUGUGGUGGAUCUUUGCUCAUGGUUUGGUUAAUGAACACUAGUUGUGGUGUUUCCCCAAUUUAAUGCUGAUGUCGUUUACCUCAUGUU